rnacentral:rRNA from 1 species
UACGUAGGGUGCAAGCGUUGUCCGGAAUUAUUGGGCGUAAAGAGCUCGUAGGCGGUUUGUCGCGUCUGCUGUGAAAACUCAGGGCUUAACUCUGAGCUUGCAGUGGGUACGGGCAGACUAGAGUGCGGUAGGGGAGACUGGAAUUCUCGGUGUAGCGGUGAAAUGCGUAGAUAUCGAGAGGAACACCUGCGGCGAAGGCGGGUUGCUGGGCUGACACUGACGCUGAUGCGCGAAAGCCAGGGGAGCGAACGGG